UACGUAGGGGGCAAGCGUUGUCCGGAAUCAUUGGGCGUAAAGCGCGUGUAGGCGGUCCGGUAAGUCUGCUGUAAAAGUCGGGGGCUCAACCCUCGGAUGCCGGUGGAUACUGUCGGGCUUGAGUACGGAAGAGGCGAGUGGAAUUCCUGGUGUAGCGGUGAAAUGCGCAGAUAUCAGGAGGAACACCAAUUGCGAAGGCAGCGCGCUGGGACGUUACUGACGCUGAGACGCGAAAGCGUGGGGAGCAAACAGG
rnacentral:rRNA from 1 species